GUGGUUUCAGAUUGCUGAUCCUACAACACCACAUAAAGAAAGAGGUCAUCAUGCAAAAUGUCUCACCUACUGAAGGAACUAAAAAUGGGACCAAUUUAGGAAGGACUAGAUUGAUUUUGAAUUAAGGAGGGGGUGUGGCUUGAACCCGGACGGGCUAGCUCGCAGCUUGCGUUGCUAGCUGGGAAGACCCCGGGCCUUUCUCGAAGGAACUAAAAAUAGCAAUGGUGAUCUCAUGUAUAUGAAGGCACUGUACCAUGCACUUCCAAUGGAUUACGUGUCAGUAGGCAAGCUUCAUGGCAAGCUAGAUGGGGAGGCCAGCCAGAACAUGGUUUGUAAGUUAAUUGAAAAAAAUGGUGCAAGACGGAUAUGUCAAGAAUUCAGCCAACCGAAGACUAGGCAAAGUUGUCAUUCAUUCUGAAGUCACCAACAGAAAGCUCCUUGAGAUAAAAAGGAUUCUGGAAAUCGAUAUAGCUGAACAAAUGGUACCAUUGGCCGUUUUGGUUUGAUGCCAAAAGCAUACCCUACCAAUUUAUUGGCAAAUUGAAUAGUUUGUGUGUUAGUUUGGAUUGUGACCAAAUAUUUGGUAGUGCCCCUAAAAUAUUAGGUCAUAUUCUAGAAGUUUCUUCACUAUGCUAUAAGAAUUUGGCUUUAAAUUGGUAGCAAUCCAAAUGUUAGCUAAAUAAUUUUACCCUACCAAUAUUUUGAUAGUGCCAAAAUUGGCCUAGACUUUUGGCACUACCAAUGAAUUGGUAGGGUAAAGAACCAAACAAGCCCCAUAAUCAUUUCUAACAGCACCAAAUAUUUAUCUACUAAUUCUGUCCAUUCCACAACAGUCAUUUUAUUCAUGGUUAAUCUGAAACUCUGCUUCAUCAUUUAGGCCAUU